ensembl:lncRNA
AUGUUUCAUCAGAACAGAGUGGUAACAUUGGGAAACUCUGGCACAGCCCAGGGUGACUGCUCUGGACGCUGGGCUUCCUGCAGCGGUUCCUAUGGGCUCAUGGCCUUGCUACCACGGAGAAGAAGGGUGUGUAGGCAGCAGGCAACACAACAAAACGGAUGCAGCAAGGGCUUUCCCCACACCCUGCCACCUGCACUGCACGGCACAGCUUGAGGGCACACAAAGAACAAGUUGCAGAGGUGCUGGCACUGCACUAAGAUUAUAAACCACCAUCUUUUUUUAAAGCAAAGUUGACUUGAAUCAACUUGAUAAAAUUGAUGCAGAGAAGUGUUGGGAGUGAGCAGCAUUUGGGUGUACAAAACCAGGUGCAAGAUGGUCCUGUUUGUGCAAACCUGAAAGUCAGGGGACUACAAUAUGUAUUCUGCAGAAAGCCCCAUGCUGACUCCAGAACAACUCCUUCGCUUCUGCUGAUGUGAUGCUGCCACUGAGCACUCCCAGCUUGCAGGGAGGUAGUUCUACGGGUUGCACUAGCCAUGCUGGCCAUCAGCUUUAAUGAAGAGCAGGUAAAUCAUGUGAUCACUAAAUCUGACAUUUCAAUCUGAUAGGAAAGGCACCUAUCAUUCCCUCUGCAAAGUAAAUGCAGCGGAAUAUUCAGGCUUAUGUCCCCAGAAUAUCAUGAAAAUCCAGGUCUGGCUCCUGUCUGCUGUGCCCCCUAUGGCAAUACACCAUUCCUGGGGCUGUUUAUUCUCAUGUCCAUGCCUUUAUGUAAAGAAAACCUCUAACAAAACCAUGCUCUACGACUACCCCAUGUAAUUUCUUCACAUGGACUGCCUUUGUGUCACAUUUAUUGCCCAUUCUUUGCUGGGAAGAUUUUUACAUGGGAUCUGAAGUUUAAAAGAAGACAGAUGACAAGCUGUGAUCACGAGGAGGAGAGGCUCACCAUAUGGAAAUAGAAAGCCCUGGCUCCCUCCUUUCUUCCUCCUCCCCCCUCCCCUGCAGAGUUUCUCUACUUCACAUGGUGCUAUUGGGAUUUGAAGAUCAGAAUACAAAUUAAAUUAUUAAACGAAGAACAAAAAAACUCAGGCCUCUCCACCCUUGCAUGUGAUCAGUAAUUACAAAUCAAAGUAGGGAAAACAACCCUGCUGGAAGCUGGUGUUGGGCUACAGCCCAGCUGCCUACAGAAGGACACAGAGCUCAGGCAACAUGUAUGUGAUUUUGCCUGCUAUGGAGGGUUCAUGUGCAAAUAGGGUCUGCAGCUAAGAAAUUACUUUAAUGGCAGAAACAUAUUCAUGGGCCUACUUAUUUUUGUUGUAUCAUUUAGUACUUACCCGUAGGUGUGUCUGGGAAGAGCAGAAGCACCAUUCCUCAACCUACUGCACUUCUCCAACAUCAGACUCCUGGUUUCUGAGCCAGGCCCCCACACAGUGUGCUCCAAAACAGUCUGAUCCUCUUCAGCACUAAGCACCGUCACACCUCACACGUGAUAGCCACCACUCCAACUUUCAGCAAGCAAAGAGAAAGGAACUAACCCAUUUCAGCAGGACAGAUUUUGAGAUCUUGACCAGUUCAAUGACUGCAGCUGGGGCAGUGGGAGCCCUGCAGGCAGAGCAGGGAGGAAAGAGGCUGUCAGCCCCUCACACCUGCACCACGCUGCUUUUCCUGGAAGCUGCUGGGCAUUUGCACUUUUGAAAGACUCAAAGACUCCUUCAGGUGGCAAAGCACACACUGCAGGUAUCUGCUUUUGAAAAAAAUUGGCCCCUUUUUCGUCAUUGGCUUUUCAAGGCUUGGGUUGAGUCACUGACCUCGGUAGCCAGACUUACAAAACAAGCACUUAGACCCCUUAAUGCAGACCUGGGCGAUGGACAUCCCAUUAAGGCACCCAUGGUUGAAAACCAGCUCCUUGUAGCCAAAAUAAAUAGCUGAAUCAAUGCUACA